ensembl:misc_RNA 7SK 7SK RNA
GAAUGUGAGGGUGCUCUGGCUGUGACAUCUGUCACCCCAUUGAUCGCCAGGGUUGAUUUUCAGCUGAUCCGGCUGGCUGGGCAGGUGUUGCCUUCCUCCCUAACAGCUCCAUGUCUGUCCCUCCAGAAGCUGCAUGCUCCCUUAAAGAUGAUGACCUUAUAGAGGAGGACCCAUUCUUCCAUCAAGUGUAUGUGAGUAGCUGUACUCCCCUAUUAGAAUCUCCAAACAAGCUCUCAAGGUCCAUUUGUAGGAGAAUAUAGGGUAGUCAAACUUCCAAGAUUCCAGACAUAUCCAAAUGAGGUGCUGCAUGUGGCAGUCUGCAUUUGUUA